CUCCAAGUGGUGCAGUGGUAGCACAAUGGUCUGCAGCCACCAAGGUUGUGAUUUCAAAUCCCACUUUGGGCA
rnacentral:tRNA from 1 species